AUGUGAAUAAGAUAGUGUCUGUUACAACACAGUGCCUGGAAAACCUAGACUAUGCUGUGUAGUGCAGGAGUCAUGAGACACACUGGCUAUUUAGACUUGAAUUUGAUUUAAUUUAUAGUUAAUCAAAUUUAAACUUUAUUUUCUCAAUCACACUAGUCACAUCUCAAUAGCCACACCUGCCUGGUAGUUAGUGCAUUGUAAAGAGCAAACAAAGAACAUUCCAGGCAUUCAUUUGUACAGUGCAGACUUGACCCUGUUAGCUUGGUCCAGUGUUUUAUUUUAGAUGGAGUAGAAUUUUUCUUAUUAAAAGGCACAAACACUUCUCUUAUGCCCAUCUUUUCAAAUUUUAAGUAGUCAUGCACCUACUGAAAUGAUUUGUACGAUAAACUCUCCUUGAUAUGCCUUCUCCUGAGAGAUACUUUAAGCAACGUGCACUGUGUUUCCUUUUAUUUGAAAAUAUUAUCUGCUGCUUUGGUGGUAUUAAACCAUGAUAUUCAAAUGAAGGAUGCUGAUUAUUACAUUAUGCAUAAAAGAACACAAAAUCUAGAGUAUUGCGAGAAACGUAAUUUAUGUAAAAACAUGCAGACAAUUACAUUCAAGUAUUUGAUGUAAGUAAUGAGAGAAUCACACAUAAUGGGCAUUUUUUAUUAAACUGGGAUUUAGUUGAUUUGUCUUAUGAAUGAAGUUACUCAAGUAAAUUGGAUUGUGAGCCAAGAAAUAAAAAAAAGAAUAAAAUAAAAAGAUGAAAAUUUCAGAAGCUUGGCACAUAAAUAUCAGAAUAAGCAAAUUGACUUAGCUCUAGAUAUUCUACCAGUUUAUCUGCAUUGGAAAAAAAUAGGCAAUUUUCGGGUUUGACUUAGUGAAAUCUAGUGGGAACCUUCCUCUAAGGAAUUGUAUAGUAUUUGGCAAUGUAUCACUCCAUAUCCAGUAGUUAUUCAACAUUUGUUAAGUGCCAGCUAACGAAAUGGUAGAGUACAAAGAUUGAUCACGCAUGCAUCUGUUCUUAUGUAUUUCUUAGUUCAGGAGUGCAGAUAAGUCAUGCAUAAAUUGAUUGUAUUACAAAGUAAAAAGUGAUCAGUAGGGUAAAAUGUUCAUAAUAAAUACCAUAAGAAAUUGGAGAGAAAAUAAUUCAAGGAAGGCAAGGAGUUGUUUUCACAACUGUAAUCCUUACAUCUGGAAAACAGCCUGGCAUAGGGUUGCUUACAGUAAAUGCCAGGUGAAUGAAUGAGUUAGCAAAACUGCACGGACAAGUGAACAGUUGAGCUGGACCUUAGAGGAUAGGUUUGACACAGGUCUGUGAUGGUGAUGGAUGUUUGAUCCAGAGGAAGCUAACAGCAUGGGCACUAAGCAGGAGUGUGGAAACCUCAGCUUUCUGUGCAGAAGGGCAGGUAGUACAGCUGGACUCUUGUAGGCACCAUGGAGCAGGGAGCAGUGACAGAUGAGGAUGGAGAGAUCGGUGCAUUCCGCAUAUGGAAGGUCAUUAUCCCAUGCUAAAGGUGUGAACUUACAAUCUCAGUUCCUCAUCUGCAACCCUGGGAUAAUGACAUUUGCCUAGCACAGCUUGUGCAGGCAUUGGAAUAAGUGAAUGGGAAAAGUGAUUUGAAUGCACUUUGUGGGGGUGGGAAGGAGUAAAAAUGCUAUAGGAAUUCAUGCUUAGGUUAUAAAUGAGAAAAGAUCAUGAUGAAAACAUUUGUCAUCCCCAAACAGAAUCAUUUGAAAUUCUAUGUCCCUUGGCUACCUCUUUCUAAACAGUAUUAAUUUAGAAAAAAAAAAAAAA
ensembl:lncRNA